GGGCCCCCACACUGAGGAGAAACUUUUGAGAGUAGAACCAAAAUUGUGGUUCUACUACUUUUGGAGUCGAACCAAAAAUUGGAUUAGGAUAAUAGAGACAAAGGAAGAUAAAUUUCUGAUUUAAAAAGGGGAGAAGAACACAGCCAGACAUCUCAGAAAGCUGGCCACUGUGUUUUUGAACACCUCACAAAGGUUACAAAACAGGGACCUCUGUGAAGUUAGCUUUUCUAACUCUGAGCCAUGACUUUUUUUUUUUUAAGAGAUGGGAUCUCACUAUGUUGCCCAGGCUGGUCUUGAACUUCUGGAUUCAAGUGAUUUGAUUUUCCUGCCUUGGACUCCCAAAGUGCUGGGAUUACAGCAACUCCCAAAACACACAUGGCCCCAGAGAAUAAGAGGACCACAGCUGAGUUGCUUUUCAGACAUCAGACAGCUGUCCUUGUGGAUGAAAGAAACUCCUUUCCAACUUUGAAGAAAAUGUCCAGGGAUCGGGGAGCAGGCAUGUGAUAUUCUUCAAGGGCUGAAUUAUCUGUGAUCAAAAGAAUUACUCCACCCUGGGGCAUAUCCAACAAGAUGAAAGAUUCAGAAAUAAAUUACAUUGUGCUCCAUUCUUCCUGGCUCUCAACAUCUUCCCGCAUAAGAAAUCAGUUUCCUGAGAGUCUCCAGGCUCCAAAAGGCCAUCCUAAGGGAUGAAGGCAAAGUCUCAUGGGUCCAGCCACCCACCACAGACAUCUCUAGGAUGACUUUGGGGACCUGAUUGUUCCUGUGGCAAUGAUGCAUGUGGCCUGGGAGUUUUGGGAAAGGUAGGUUCAUGAGCUAUUUAUGUGUAGUUAAGUGUUUGGUCUUUCUGAGCAUCAGCUGGCAAGGCCAUGUCCUCAUCCCACUGCCUCUGAGAGUCACUGCUUAGCUGUGUCUAAGCAAUGAGGGGAAGAGGGGGUGAUAUUGUAUCUAACUUUGAGAGUAAUCAUUACUGUGUCAGUGUGCAAAUGACAAGUUCCAGUGGGUAGUGUAGAAGGUUUUCUAGUUAUUUUGUCUAUUAUAGGCAUGGUCCAAUACUUCCUCUUCCUCUUUCUUUUAAUAAAGGACUGCAAGAGAAAAGGAUGUACUGUUAUGCUUUAUAAUUCAGGCAGACAAUACAGGUAUUGGCUAACUUGAUUUGCCAUGAUCAGCUGCCUU
rnacentral:lncRNA from 10 species